CGGGGCGUGGCGCAGUCCGGUAGCGCACUAGCAUGGGGGGCUAGGGGUCGCUGGUUCGAAUCCAGUCGCCCCGACCA
rnacentral:tRNA from 1 species